rnacentral:rRNA from 1 species
AUUGAACGCUGGCGGCAUGCCUUACACAUGCAAGUCGAACGGUAACAGGUCUUCGGAUGCUGACGAGUGGCGAACGGGUGAGUAAUACAUCGGAACGUGCCUAGUAGUGGGGGAAAACUACUCGAAAGAGUGGCUAAUACCGCAUGAGAUCUACGGAUGAAAGCAGGGGAUCGCAAGACCUUGUGCUACUAGAGCGGCCGAUGGCAGAUUAGGUAGUUGGUGGGAUAAAAGCUUACCAAGCCGACGAUCUGUAGCUGGUCUGAGAAGACGAUCAGCCACACUGGGACUGAGACACGGCCCAGACUCCUACGGGAGGCAGCAGUGGGGAAUUUUGGACAAUGGGCGAGAGCCUGAUCCAGCAAUGCCGCGUGCAGGAUGAAGGCCUUCGGGUUGUAAACUGCUUUUGUACGGAACGGAAAGCCCCGGGUUAAUACCCUGGGGUCAUGACGGUACCGUAAGAAUAAGCACCGGCUAACUACGUGCCAGCAGCCGCCGUAA